rnacentral:rRNA from 1 species
AUGGCGUUCAAGCGUCUCUUGCCCCUGGUAGCCCUGCUCUCCUUGUUGGUCGCUCCACCAUCGUCAGCUGUGCCCAGCCUCCAGCCUGUGGUGCUGGUGCCGGGCAACACCUGCAGCCAGCUGGAGGCGCGGCUCACCGACGAGUACGAACCUCCGCCGGCGUCGGGCUGCGGAGUCCCAAGGCAAGGCCGCGGGUGGUUCCGGCUUUGGGAGAACUUCACGGCGCUGCAGGAGGACUCCUUCCUCUUCCGGUGCUACGCGGACCAGCUGCGGCUCGUCUACGACCCCCGCGCCGGCGACUAUCGUAAUGUGCCGGGCGUCAAGACCCGCGUCGUGGCCUUUGGCACCACCCGCAGCUUCGGCUCCGACGAUCCUGCCCGAAAGAAUGUGUGCAUGGAAGGGCUGGUGGAGGCACUGGAACGCGUGGGAUACAGAGAGGGAGAGAACCUAUUCGGCGCCCCGUACGACUUCCGGCACGCUCCGGCCGCUCCCGGACUGGCUUCCCGGGCCUUCUCCGACUGGAGCUCCAGCCUCAGGCUCCUGGUGGAGCGCGCAAGCCAAAGGAACGGGAACAAGCCGGUCGUCCUCGUGACGCACAGCCUGGGCGGCCUCUUCGCCACGGUGUUCCUCGACCGGACACCCCUGCGGUGGCGCAGGAGGUACGUCAAGCACCUCGUCAUGCUCUGCCUCGGCGUCGGCGGCUCGCCGCUCAACAUGUGGCCCCUCGCCUCCAAGGCGCUGGCCUCCAACCCCGCGUCGCUGCAGGCCGCCGUGCUGACCUACGGGAACAGGAGCUUCGCAAGCAUGUUCUCGCUCCUGCCGUCCCCCAGGGUGUACGGCCGCACGCCCCUGGUGAUCACGCGGGACAGGAACUACUCUGCCGAUGACAUGCCGGAGUUCCUCGCGGCGGCAGGUUUCUCCGGGGACGAGGUGGCGCGGUACAGAACGAGGGCGCUGCCGGUGACGCUCAGCCUCCGGGCGCCGCUCGUGCCGAUGACGGCCAUGAACGGUGUUGGCGUGCCCACCGUGGAUCAGCUGGUGUUCUGGGACGGUAACUUCAGUGGGAAGCCGCAGUUGGUGAACGGCGAUGGCGAUGGCCAGAUCAACUUGGAGACCGUCUUGGCGUUGCAAAGGUUGGUAGAGGCUGAUCCGGACCAGCCUUACUUCAAGUCGAUUUUGAUCCCCAACACGACGCACAAGGGUAUGAUCUCGGACCAAUCUGCGCUCAAGCGUGUCGUCAGUGAAAUCCUAAUUGGAGCCUCCUCUUGA